rnacentral:rRNA from 1 species
GCUAAGAGAUCAGCCUAUGUCCUAUCAGCUUGUUGGUAAGGUAAUGGCUUACCAAGGCUAUGACGGGUAUCCGGCCUGAGAGGGUGAACGGACCACACUGGAACUGAGACACGGUCCAGACUCCUACGGGAGGCAGCAGUAGGGAAUAUUGCUCAAUGGGGGAAACCCUGAAGCAGCAACGCCGCGUGGAGGAUGAAGGUUUUAGGAUUGUAAACUCCUUUUGUUAGAGAAGAUAAUGACGGUAUCUAACGAAUAAGCACCGGCUAACUCCGUGCCAGCAGCCGCGGUAAUACGGAGGGUGCAAGCGUUACUCGGAAUCACUGGGCGUAAAGAGCGCGUAGGCGGGAUAGUCAGUCAGGUGUGAAAUCCUAUGGCUUAACCAUAGAACUGCAUUUGAAACUACUAUUUCUAGAGUGUUGGGAGAGGUAGGUGGAAUUCUUGGUGUAGGGGUAAAAUCCGUAGAGAUCAAGAGGAAUACUCAUUGCGAAGGCGACCUGCUGGAACAUUACUGACGCUUGAUUGC